rnacentral:rRNA from 1 species
GAUGAACGCUGGCGGCGUGCCUAACACAUGCAAGUCGAGCGAACCUUUCGGGGUGAGCGGCGGACGGGUGAGUAACGCGUGGGUAACCUGCCCUAUACACACGGAUAACGUACCGAAAGGUACGCUAAUACGGGAUAAAGUUGUUGGAUGGAAUCUUCUAACAAUCAAAGCUCCGGCGGUAUAGGAUGGACCGGAGUCUGAUUAGCUAGUUGGUGAGGUAAUGGCUCACCAAGGCGACGAUCAGUAGCCGACCUGAGAGGGUGAUCGGCCACACUGGAACUGAGACACGGUCCAGACUCCUACGGGAGGCAGCAGUGGGGAAUAUUGCACAAUGGGCGAAAGUCUGAUGCAGCAACGCCGCGUGAGCGAUGAAGGUCUUCGGAUCGUAAAGCUCUGUCCUCAAGGAAGAUAAUGACGGUACUUGAGGAGGAAGCCCCGGCUAACUACGUGCCAGCAGCCGCGGUAA